AGAGUUUGAUCAUGGCUCAGAACGAACGCUGGCGGCGCGCCUAAUACAUGCAAGUCGAGCGAGAAGGUGUAGCAAUACACUUGUAAAGCGGCGAACGGGUGAGGAAUACAUGGGUAAUCUACCAUCGAGUGGGGAAUAACCAACCGAAAGGUUGGCUAAUACCGCGUACGCCUCCGGGUCUUCGGGUUCGGAGGGAAAGCUGCACUGUGAGUGUAGCGCUCUUUGAUGAGCUCAUGUCCUAUCAGCUUGUUGGUAGGGUAACGGCCUACCAAGGCUUUGACGGGUAGCUGGUCUGAGAGGACGAUCAGCCACACUGGCACUGCGACACGGGCCAGACUCCUACGGGAGGCAGCAGUAAGGAAUAUUGCGCAAUGGGCGAAAGCCUGACGCAGCGACGCCGCGUGGGGGAUGAAGGUCUUCGGAUUGUAAACCCCUUUCGGGAGGGAAGAUGGAGCGAGCAAUCGUUCGGACGGUACCUCCAGAAGCAGCCACGGCCAACUUCGUGCCAGCAGCCGCGGUAAUACGAAGGUGGCAAGCGUUGUUCGGAUUCACUGGGCGUACAGGGUGUGUAGGCGGUUUGGUAAGCCUUCUGUUAAAGCUUCGGGCCCAACCCGGAAAGCGCAGAGGGUACUGCCAGGCUAGAGGGUGGGAGAGGAGCGCGGAAUUCCCGGUGUAGCGGUGAAAUGCGUAGAGAUCGGGAGGAAGGCCGGUGGCGAAGGCGGCGCUCUGGAACAUUUCUGACGCUGAGGCUCGAAAGCGUGGGGAGCAAACAGGAUUAGAUACCCUGGUAGUCCACGCCU
rnacentral:rRNA from 1 species